rnacentral:rRNA from 1 species
AGCUAAUAGAUACCCAGGUAGUCCACGCCCUAAACGAUGGAUACUAGGCGUAAGAGGUAUCGACCCCUCUUGUGCCGCAGCUAACGCAUUAAGUAUCCCGCCUGGGGAGUACGGCCGCAAGGUUGAAACUCAAAUGAAUUGACGGGGACCCGCACAAGCGGUGGAGCAUGUGGAUUAAUUCGAUACUAACCGAAGAACCUUACCCAGGUUUGACGUCGAUCGCAAAGCCUAGAGAUAGGCUCCUCUCCCACAAGGAGACGUGAAGACACUUGUUGCAUGGCUGUCGUCAGCUCGUGCCGUGAGGUGUACGGUUAAGUCCGCCAACGAGCGCAACCCUCGGCCUGUGUUACCAGCAUGAAAGAUGGGGACUCACAGGUGACCGCCGGUGUAAGCCGGAGGAAGGUGGGGAUGAUGUCAAGUCAGCAUGGCAGUUACGCCUGGGGCUUCACACAUGCUACAAUGGGCGCAACAAAGGGCAGCAAUACCGCGAGU